GAUGAACGCUAGCUACAGGCUUAACACAUGCCAGUCGCGGGGCAGCAUGGGGGUUGCUUGCAACUCCCGAUGGCGACCGGCGCACGGGUGAGUAACGCGUAUCCAACCUGCCCUUCACCACGGGAUAACCCGGCGAAAGUCGGACUAAUACCGUAUGUUGUCCAUUGACGGCAUCCGAUUUGGACGAAAGGCUUUGCGGUGAAGGAUGGGGAUGCGUCCGAUUAGCCAGACGGCGGGGUAACGGCCCACCGGGGCUACGAUCGGUAGGGGUUCUGAGAGGAAGGUCCCCCACACUGGAACUGAGACACGGUCCAGACUCCUACGGGAGGCAGCAGUGAGGAAUAUUGGUCAAUGGGCGUAAGCCUGAACCAGCCAAGUAGCGUGCAGGAUGACGGCCCUAUGGGUUGUAAACUGCUUUUAUGCGGGGAUAAAGUGGCCCACGUGUGGGCUUUUGCAGGUACCGCAUGAAUAAGGACCGGCUAAUUCCGUG
rnacentral:rRNA from 1 species